UCUCAAGCGUGAGGUAAGGGCAUCUGGUGAAUGCCUUGGCAUGUACAGGCGAUGAAGGACGUGGCACGCUGCGAUAAGCGUGGGGGAGCUGUGAGCAAGCUUUGAUCCCGCGAUUUCCGAAUGGGACAACCCACCUUCACCAUUUAAGACUGGUCCAGCAGCAAUGCUGGCCCCGUGUUAAAUGGGAAAGGUAUCACUAAGCUGAAUAAAAUAGGCUUUGGUGAGGCGAACCCGGAGAACUGAAACAUCUCAGUACCCGGAGGAAAAGACAUCAACCGAGAUUCCGUUAGUAGUGGCGAGCGAACGCGGACCAGGCCAGUGCCUGGUGCUUAGUUAACAGAAGUGUCUGGAAAGGCACGCCAUAGCGGGUGACAGCCCCGUAUGUGAAAGCAAAGCAUCAGGACUCGAGUAGGGCGGAGCACGUGAAACUCUGUCUGAACAUGGGGGGACCACCCUCCAAGCCUAAAUACUCGUACAUGACCGAUAGUGAACCAGUACCGUGAGGGAAAGGUGAAAAGCACCCCGAUGAGGGGAGUGAAACAGUACCUGAAACCGGAUGCCUACAAGCAGUGGGAGGAUCCUUGAGAUCUGACCGCGUACCUCUUGCAUAAUGGGUCUGUGACUUAGUGUAUCAAGCAAGCUUAAGCCGUUAGGUGUAGGCGCAGCGAAAGCGAGUCUGAAUAGGGCGAUAGAGUUUGAUGCAUUAGACCCGAAACCCGGCGAUCUAUGCAUGACCAGGUUGAAGGUGCGGUAACACGCACUGGAGGACCGAACCGUUCAAUGUUGAAAAAUUGUCGGAUGAGUUGUGCUUAGGGGUGAAAAGGCCAAUCAAGCCGGGAAAUAGCUGGUUCUCCGCGAAAUCUAUUGAGGUAGAGCGUCGGAUGAUUGCCGUUGGGGGUAGAGCACUGGAUGGUUGCGGGGGUCGCGAGAUCUACCAACACUAACCAAACUCCGAAUACCAACGAGUCUAGUCCGGCAGACAGACGGCGGGUGCUAAGGUCCGUCGUCAAAAGGGAAACAGCCCUAACCUACAGCUAAGGUCCCCAAGUCAUCACUAAGUGGGAAAGCAUGUGGGAUUUCCAAAACAACCAGGAGGUUGGCUUAGAAGCAGCCAUCCUUUAAAGAAAGCGUAACAGCUCACUGGUCUAAAUAAGAGAUCCUGCGGCGAAGAUGUAACGGGGGCUAAAAGUGAUGCACCGAAGCUUAGGGUGUGAUCGUUUACGAUCACGCGGUAGCGGAGCGUUCCGUAGGCCKUUGAAGCGAUCUGGUAAUGGGUCGUGGAGGUAUCGGAAGUGCGAAUGCAGACAUGAGUAGCGAUUAACAGUGUGAGAUGCACUGUCGCCGAAAUUCCAAGGGUUCCUGCUUAAAGCUAAUCUGAGCAGGGUAAGCCGGCCCCUAAGACGAGCCCGAAGGGGGUAGUCGAUGGGAACCACGUUAAUAUUCGUGGGCCUGGAGGUGUGUGACGGAUGGUGUAAAUGGUCUGGGCUUAUUGGAUUGCUCCAGGCUGUGAAAUCGUCCCAGGAAAUAGCCCCUCCGUAUAGACCGUACCCUAAACCGACACAGGUGGAAUGGUAGAGUAUACCAAGGCGUUUGAGAGAAGUAUCCUGAAGGAACUCGGCAAAUUGCCUCCGUACCUUCGGAAGAAGGAGGCCCCAUAUAAGCGCAAGCUCUUAUGGGGGGCACAGGCCAGGGGGUAGCGACUGUUUAGCAAAAACACAGGGCUCUGCUAAGUCGGCUUCAAGACGACGUAUAGGGCCUGACGCCUGCCCGGUGCCUGAAGGUUAAGAGGAGGUGUGCAAGCACUGAAUUGAAGCCCAGGUAAACGGCGGCCGUAACUAUAACGGUCCUAAGGUAGCGAAAUUCCUUGUCGGGUAAGUUCCGACCUGCACGAAUGGCGUAACGACUUCCCCACUGUCUCCAGGAUAUGCUCAGCGAAAUUGAAUUCUCCGUGAAGAUGCGGAGUACCCGCGGUUAGACGGAAAGACCCCGUGCACCUUUACUGCAACUUCAGAGUGGCAUUAGGAAAGAGCUGUGUAGCAUAGGUGGGAUUGAGCAUCGACGCCAGUUUGAUGUGGAGCCAUAGGUGAAAUACCACCCUGCUGUUUUCUGAUGUCUAACCUCGUACCGUUAUCCGGUACAGGGACCCUCUGUGGUGGGUAGUUUGACUGGGGCGGUCUCUAAGAGUAACGGAGGCGCGCGAUGGUGGGCUCAGGACGGUUGGAAACCGUCUGUUAGAGUGCAAUGGCAUAAGCCCGCCUGACUGCGAGACUGACAAGUCGAGCAGAGACGAAAGUCGGUCAUA
rnacentral:rRNA from 1 species